CACAGCAAUGCUCACAAGCCUGGGCCAGAAGCCAUUGCUAGGCUGGACCACUGGAUUCCUCUCUGUCAUGGCCACAGAGUCCGACAUCUACCUGUGUACUGAAGCCAAAGCACCACGUUCUUUACCUGAUACUAACAGAAAGUCUGAAGCUGCAGUUUGGCCUCUCCUUCCUAAGGAUGUUUGGACAGCUUCAGUUACCUCUGAGUACAAGCAUGAUGCAGUCUGGAAACACUAGCAGGACUUCAUUCUUUCAUGGAUCCAACAUGCACAACCUGCCUCUCCUGGGGAGGCAUGUGCCAAGAGAUGGUCUGCUUCUUGGCUUCAAAGCAUAAGGAACUUCACCAUUCUUAAAACUGGUACUGAGAUGAGGGCUGCUGGAGGCCUUUUGGUUGAUACUUUAUGAAGAGCAUCCUCCAGGAGGAUGCUAUUAAAGUCUUUAUAACAGCAACUAAUGGUAAGGAAAGAGAUUGAGUCAAAAUCUAUCUUCUGUCUCUU
rnacentral:lncRNA from 1 species